AAGAGAGAGAGAGAGAAAG
rnacentral:sRNA from 1 species